rnacentral:tRNA from 1 species
GUGAGUAUAGUUCAGUUGGUAGAGCGCCAGAUUGUGGUUCUGGAUGUCUAGGGUUCGAGUCCCUAUACUCACCCCA